rnacentral:pre_miRNA from 1 species
AGAGGAAUAGCUGGGUCAAAUGGUGGUUCCAUUCCCAGAUUUUCAAGGAAUAUCCAUACCGCUUUUUAUUUUGGCUGUACCAAUUUGCAGUCCCACCAGCAAU